rnacentral:rRNA from 1 species
UACGUAGGGUGCAGGCGUUAAUCGGAAUUACUGGGCGUAAAGCGUGCGCAGGCGGUUUGCUAAGACAGGUGUGAAAUCCCCGGGCUUAACCUGGGAACUGCGCUUGUAACUGGCAAGCUAGAGUGUGGCAGAGGGGGGUGGAAGUUCCAGGUGUAGCAGUGAAAUGCGUAGAGAUCUGGAGGAACACCGAUGGCGAAGGCAGCCCCCUGGGCUAACACUG